rnacentral:rRNA from 1 species
AGAGUUUGAUCCUGGCUCAGGAUGAACGCUGGCGGCGUGCUUAACACAUGCAAGUCGAACGAUGAUCUCCAGCUUGCUGGGGGGAUUAGUGGCGAACGGGUGAGUAACACGUGAGUAACCUGCCCUUUAACUCUGGGAUAAGCCUGGGAAACUGGGUCUAAUACCGGAUAUGACUCCUCAUCGCAUGGUGGGGGGUGGAAAGCUUUUUGUGGUUUUGGAUGGGCUCGCGGCCUAUCAGCUUGUUGGUGGGGUAAUGGCCCACCAAGGCAACGACGGGUAGCCGGCCUGAGAGGGUGACCGGCCACACUGGGACUGAGACACGGCCCAGACUCCUACGGGAGGCAGCAGUGGGGAAUAUUGGACAAUGGGCGAAAGCCUGAUCCAGCAACGCCGCGUGAGGGAUGACGGCCUUCGGGUUGUAAACCUCUUUCAGCAGGGACGAAGCGCAAGUGACGGUACCUGCAGAAGAAGCACCGGCCAACUACGUGCCAGCAGCCGCGGUAAUACGUAGGGUGCGAGCGUUGUCCGGAAUUAUUGGGCGUAAAGGGCUCGUAGGCGGUUUGUCGCGUCGGGAGUGAAAACUCAGGGCUUAACCCUGAGCCUGCUUCCGAUACGGGCAGACUAGAGGUAUGCAGGGGAGAACGGAAUUCCUGGUGUAGCGGUGAAAUGCGCAGAUAUCAGGAGGAACACCGGUGGCGAAGGCGGUUCUCUGGGCAUUACCUGACGCUGAGGAGCGAAAGUGUGGGGAGCGAACAGGAUUAGAUACCCUGGUAGUCCACACCGUAAACGUUGGGCGCUAGGUGUGGGACUCAUUCCACGAGUUCCGUGCCGCAGCUAACGCAUUAAGCGCCCCGCCUGGGGAGUACGGCCGCAAGGCUAAAACUCAAAGGAAUUGACGG